UACGUAGGGUGCAAGCGUUUAAUCGGAAUUACUGGGCGUAAAGCGUGCGCAGGCGGUUUCGUAAGUCUGUCGUGAAAUCCCCGGGCUUAACCUGGGAAUGGCGAUGGAGACUGCGAGGCUAGAGUUUGGCAGAGGGGGGUAGAAUUCCACGUGUAGCAGUGAAAUGCGUAGAGAUGUGGAGGAACACCGAUGGCGAAGGCAGCCCCCUGGGUCAAAACUGACGCUCAUGCACGAAAGCGUGGGGAGCAAACAGG
rnacentral:rRNA from 1 species